rnacentral:lncRNA from 1 species
CCUAAUCAACUAAACUGCAUGUUAAAAGCCUGGGGUCAGGUUAUUAAGGAAAGAUUUUGUAGAACAAAUUCCACAUAGUCACUGUAAAUUACAUCUGCAUGAAAAUCAGUGUCAGCUGUUGUAUAAUAUCAGAUCUUUAAAGUAUGCCUGCAGUCCUUUAGAGAUGCAUUUGGGCAAGAGCCACUCCUGUUGCUGAAAUCAAUGAAUCAUAGAGUUGGUUGGAAGGAGCACUUCGAGGAGCACUACCUCAAAUCUAGCACCAGCAACACAUGAAGUUAGCUUUGUGUAAUUAAACCUUGAAAAUCAAUAGAGAUUCUCUAACCUCUUCUAAUAUCCUCUUCUGAUACUGCACAUUUUAUUAUAGGAAUGAAAUUUUUUAUCCUAAUCCUUGACUUGGACCUCCUAUGCCUCUUAAAUCCCUCUUGCAGACAGGGCUCAGAAGCAAAACCUGAAGCAGAAACCAAGUCUUGUGAUUUUCAGGGUACUGGGACUAAGCUGGUAUUGCGUGGCAGGUCAUGCAGGCCCAUAACAAUCACUUACUAG